UUAAAUUGUUUUGACGGGAGUAUUCAUUGACAACAUAUUGGCCUAUCCAGAUCGAAAGAUAUGUAGGUAAUGUUAUAUAAUAUAGUAUAUAUAUAU